rnacentral:rRNA from 1 species
UACGUAUGGGGCGAGCGUUAUUCGGAUUCAUUGGGCGUAAAGCGCAUGCAGGUGGUUCGUUAAGUUGAUGGUGAAAUCUUCAGGCUUAACCUGAAAAUUGCUGUCAAAACUGACGAGCUGGAGUUUAGGAGAGGAGAAUGGAAUUCCAGGUGUAGGGGUGAAAUCUGUAGAUAUCUGGAAGAACACCAGUGGCGAAGGCGAUUCUCUGGCCUGAAACUGACACUCAGAUGCGAAAGCCAGGGGAGCAAACGGG